rnacentral:rRNA from 1 species
AUUGAACGCUGGCGGCAGGCCUAACACAUGCAAGUCGAGCGAGCGGCGGACGGGUGAGUAAUGUAUGGGGACUGCCCGUUAGAGGGGGAUAACUACUGGAAACGGUAGCUAAUACCCCAUACUAUCGGAUAACCCAUAUGGGAGUGGCUCGGUGGUGGGGUAAUGGCUCACCAAGGCGACGCGCCGUAGCUGGUCUGGGAGGAUGAUCAGCUACACUGGAACAGAGGCACGGCCCAAACUCCUACGGAGGCAGCAGUGGGGAAUAUUGCACAAUGGGCGAAAGCCUGAUGCAGCCAUGCCGCGUGUAUGAAGAAGGCCCUAGGGUUGUAAAGUACUUUCAGUCUGGAGGCGUUACCGACAGAAGAAGCACCGGCUAACUCCGUGCCAGCAGCCGCGGUAAUAC